rnacentral:lncRNA from 1 species
UUUUUUUUUUUUUUUUUUUUUUUUGGUUUUUCGAGACAGUGUUUCUCUGUAGUCUUGGCUGUCCUGGAACUCACUUUGUAGACCAGGCUGGCCUCGAACUCAGAAAUCCGCCUGUCUCUGCCUCCUAAGUGCUAGGAUUAAAGGCAUGUGCCACCACUGCCCGGCCUGUAAUAGUAAUUUGAGGAGAGGGAUUGUUAAAGGAGCCAUGAGCACCAGGCCUGCUUGAGAAACUGCUGUUGUUAAGGAAACAUUUCUCCACCUUCCAGGCUGCAGCUCAGACCCAGCUAUCUGGUCUGGCUCCUGUGUCCAAAACUGUUCUCAGGCUCUAUGCUUGCCUUCCUGCCUAGCACGUUGGAAGUAUUGGGGUGGGGGGCAGCCUGCUGUGGCCCUUUACUCCCAGAUAACUGCAAGGUGCCUCUGCACCCACUCCAGCCUUCUGUAGCUCCUAAAUGAACAGCGCAGAGACCUGGUGUUUUUAUUAACAAGCGCUGUGCUGGGCAAGGUUCUGAGCUACUGUGACCCUCUAAGGCUGCCCACUUCCCAACCACGUGGUCCUUUACCUUCAAUCUGAGUCUUGCUCUGGCUCGCUCUGCUCCAUGUAUGUUCGUGACCUCGUGGUCUCUCCCUCUGAUUUCUUUGAGACUCCCUCACUGAGCUUGGAUGUCCCACCUCCUCUGAGAUCUCAUGCUCAUCCAUAGGCUGAUCAGCUCUUUUUUAACCAAUCAGAGAUGAUGGAAAACAAUUAGAUAACAGAUGCUUGACGUGCCAAGGUCUGGACUGCAAACAGAUGCCGGGGCAUAGAGAUGAGCAUCUGAAUACACAGUGCACAAGGCCAUCCCCAAGAACAGAAUAUAAACAUAUUGUUGGGGGCUGGGGAUGAUCACCUAAUAUGUAGGAAGCCUUGGGUUCUGUUCUUAGCACAUCAGCACCAACUAGAUGUAGUAAGCAGCCCACUGCUGGAAUGCAGCGCUGUGGAAGCAGGGUCAGGGGUGACUAAGACCUUGUCUCAAAACAAAGCUCAAGCCAAAAAUGAUCUUACGCAUUUCCUACGUACUUCUGUCUUCAUUACUAUCCUAUGGUUCUAUGACACGCCAUGACCACAGCAAAUCGUAAAAGCAGACACUGAACUGGGGAGCAGCUGACCUCCUCAGAGGGCUAAUCCCUGACUGGCAGGAAGCAUAGCAGUAGGAACACAGGUAGGCAUAGUGCUGAGGCACUAGCUACAGGCUUCCAUCUUGAUGAAGAGCAAGCCUAAGACUGGACCUGGCCUAAGCAAAUGUCUGCAUUAAGGAAGCCUUAGCUUUGGAUUCUGCAAAGUGACUCUCCACCUUAAACCUUUGGGAACCUGUUUACACAAGUCCUUUGCUUUAGGCUUUUGACCCCCUUUGAAAUGCUAAUACAGCAGUCUCUUAAUAGCUUGUGAAUUGUGAAUUGUUCAUCUGGAGCCAUUGUUAUGGGCGGAAUGUUUGUGUUUCCCUGCUGUUAAAUGAGAACCUGGGUGUUGUGGAGUUUUAGGUCUUUGGGGGGGUGCUUAGUUUGGAGGGUAAGGGAUGAACCCUUUGCUGGGAUUAGCAUUCUUUUAAGAGAUUAGAGAGUCACCACCCCACCCCCACCCUCUCUUGUCCUGCACCUUCUUUAAGACUCCUUUGCGGUUUACACCAGUGUGCUGGUGUUUCCUUACAGUAGCCGAGCAGACUCAGGCUCCAGCCACCAGAGGCACCCUUCUGCUUUCCUCCUGGUUUUCUUCAGCCCUCUGCUUCCCUGGCUCAGGUGUGAGCCUCCAGCUUCUGCCUUCUGAGAGGUGCCUGCCCUAGUAGGCUUGUACCAACGUGCUAGGCGUGAAGUCCAUCUCUGUUUGCUGGAAUCAGAAAAAGAAACUUCUUACAGAAUUCCUGAUCUUUCUGCCAAAGCACAUAUAAGUUUUAAUGACUGGUUUCUCUCCUUAGCAAAAGUUCAGUUUGAGUGUGGGAAUGUGUGUGACUGUCUCAUGCAGCCCAGGCAAUCAUAGUCAACACCCAAUCCACACAGUGCUGGGGAUAGAGCCCAGGCCUUUACAUGCUGGGUAAACAAAUACUCUCCUAAUUGUGCCCCUCUCUCAUAUGUAGGAUGGUUGCUUUCAGGUCUCUUCUCUAUUUCAUUUGCAAAGGGGGAAAAAUGCCUUCCAGGCAGUGGUAGCACAAACCUUUAAUCCCGGCACUUGGGAGGCAGAGGCAGGUGGAUUCUGAGUUCUAGGCCAGCCUGGUCUACAAAGUGAGUUCCAGGACAGCCAGGGUUACACAGAGAAACCCUGUCUCAAAAAACCAAAAAAGGGCUGGAGAGAUGACUCAGUGGUUAAGAGCACUGACUGUUCUUCUGAAGACCCUGAGUUCAAAUCCCAGCAACCACAUGGUGGCUCACAACCAUCUGUAAUGACAUCUGACGCCCUCUACUGGUGUGUCUGAAGCUAUUUAUAUGUAGCUACAGUGUAGUUACAUAUAAAUAAUAAAUAAAUCUUAAAAAAAUAAUAAUGCCAAUUUUCUAAAAAGCAUGAGAUUUCAUUGUCUCUUUGUUCUUAGAGAAUUAUUUUGUGUGUAUGAAUUGAUAUCUAUUAAUGGCUAAUAUUUUUAAUAUUCUGCUCUUGGGUGUUUCUCUUGUUUUUCAACAUAUAUUUAAUGAGGAAAUCUGAUUAAUUUGGCAGCCGUGGGGCCAAUUUUAUAACUCAAAUUCUGCUGAGACCUGGAGCGUCAGACUUAACAGGAAGCUUCAGGUACAGUGCUUCUACCGCUGCAACUUUUCCUGCAUGCUUGGCAUUAAGAGGCUGUUGAGAGCUGCUUUCUCAGCAGGGCAUGUUAAUCCCAGCAUAAAGGAGGCUGAAACAAGAGUAUCUCAAGUGUGAGGCCAGCCUGAUCUGCACAGUACACAGCAGUAAGCCAGAGUAAGCCUGCACAGAUCCCCACCCCACAGAAGAGCUGCUUUGCUUUCACAGUGACUGAGUCACACUUCCACGCUAAUGGUCAGCAGGGUGAAGCAUUGCUAGACUCCUGCUUUCCAAGUUGAAUGUAGGACUUUGGCAUGCUUGUUCACCUCAGUGCUGGGCUUGGCUGCCCAUUGGGAAUAUGGCUGCUGCUGGUGCACUCUGAAGAACAGCACAUGCGUAUCCCAGCCACAGCAUCUCAGCAGAAACAGCCUAGAGCCUUACGGUUUUGGCUUUUCAGUCAACUUGUUCUCUCUGUAGAUGAGUCUGCUGUCAGUUUUACCCACACAUAAAAGCUCAACAUUACAGGAGCCUCAGGAAGAUUAGAGGGAGAGCUGGGUUUCAGAUGGCUCCUUUGGUGUAAUAGGUUCCCCCAGUGGUCUUCAGAAUGUCGUUAUGCUAAAUUCACAUUUCUAGCUUAUAAAUGUACAUAUACAUGAUAAAGAAGACCAGUAUAAUAGUAAAGAUGCAUGUUACAAAAGCCUGGCAACCUGAGGUUUAUCCCUGGAAUCCAUGGUAGACGAGGAACAAUUCCUGACCUAAACACACACAAGAGGGAGAGACAAACAGACACAUAUACACAGGCCAGUAAACU